ACUUUAAUAGCUUAUACAAAUCGAGCAUGGCACUGAAGAUGCUAAGGAGGCAGCAUGUCUUAAAGUA
rnacentral:tRNA from 1 species